GCUGGCGGCAGGCCUAACACAUGCAAGUCGAGCGCCCUGUUUCGGCAGGGAGCGGCGGACGGGUGAGUAACGCGUGGGAACGUGCCCUUUAGUUCAGAAUAGCCACUGGAAACGGUGAGUAAUACUGGAUACGCCCUUCGGGGGAAAGAUUUAUCGCUAAAGGAUCGGCCCGCGUUGGAUUAGCUAGUUGGUGGGGUAAAGGCCUACCAAGGCGACGAUCUAUAGCUGGUCUGAGAGGAUGAUCAGCCACACUGGGACUGAGACACGGCCCAGACUCCUACGGGAGGCAGCAGUGGGGAAUAUUGGACAAUGGGGGCAACCCUGAUCCAGCCAUGCCGCGUGAGUGAAGAAGGCCCUAGGGUUGUAAAGCUCUUUCAGAUGUGAGGAUGAUGACAGUAGCAUCAGAAGAAGCACCGGCUAACUUCGUGCCAGCAGCCGCGGUAAUACGAAGGGUGCUAGCGUUGUUCGGAAUUACUGGGCGUAAAGGGCGUGUAGGCGGAUGAUCAAGCUAGGGGUGAAAGCCCAGGGCCCAACCCUGGAAUUGCCUUUAGAACUGAUUGUCUAGAAUCCGUAAGGGGAGUGUGGAAUUCCUAGUGUAGAGGUGAAAUUCGUAGAUAUUAGGAAGAACACCAGUGGCGAAGGCGGCACUCUGGUACGGUAUUGACGCUGAGGCGCGAAAGCGUGGGGAGCAAACAGGAUUAGAUACCCUGGUAGUCCACGCCGUAAACGAUGUCUGCUAGCCGUUUGGACACUUAGUGUCUGGGUGGCGCCGCUAACGCAUUAAGCAGACCGCCUGGGGAGUACGGUCGCAAGAUAAAACUCAAAUGGAAUUGACGGU
rnacentral:rRNA from 1 species